CCCCCCUGGCAAUGGACAAAGAGACACCUUGUUGGUGGUGGUGUUCUUAUGUAAGUCAGGGACGGAGCAGUUGGCAGUCCUUUGUUCAUCCUAGCUUGAUACCUGGCUUGGUGGCCAAAGAUGACACAUGCCUAGGAUUCAUAA